UACGUAGGGACCGAGCGUUGUCCGGAAUCAUUGGGCGUAAAGAGCGUGUAGGCGGCCUUUUAAGUCCUGCGUGAAAUCCUGCGGCUCAACCGCAGACGGUCGUGGGAAACUGGAAGGCUAGAGUGCGGGAGAGGAGAGUGGAAUUCCCGGUGUAGCGGUGAAAUGCGCAGAUAUCGGGAAGAACACCAAUGGCGAAGGCAGCACUCUGGGACGUGACUGACGCUGAGACGCGAAAGCGUGGGGAGCAAACAGG
rnacentral:rRNA from 1 species